AGGCAAAAAAGUGAAGCAUAAGAUCAUUGCAUUUGAAAAGCUGCAGCGUGCAGAAAAGGGAGUUUUAGAAAAAAGAAGGACCAAGAAAUCCUUUGUUACAGGCCCUCAAAAGAAAUGGGGUAACAGAGAGUUUGCAUUAAAGCAAAAGCAAUCAGGCUGGAGCAACAUGCAUCAGGCAGAGGAAGUGGCUUCACACACAGAAGCAGAUUCAUCGAACAUUGUAAUGGAUUUGAAGCAACUUUCCUCUCAAGCUCAUGACGAAUUUGAAACAGAAGAGAAGGGACAACAGGAAGAAAUGCUUCCCCUAGAUCAAGAAAAGGCUGAGCUUGAAGCACCUGUUACAUUUGACCUCAAGCAGUUUCACUCACAGAUAGAAAGUAC
rnacentral:lncRNA from 1 species